rnacentral:sRNA from 1 species
AACAAGCUUGCGUUAGGGAUUGAAGUGGCAUCCUUUUUAUUUUUCAUAAAAAGAUAUAACGUAAAGCCUGUUAAAAC